CCAUGAUACCAAGCUGCAAAUAGUAAAUGAGAGAGCAGAUGGCGGGAGUUCCUCUUCUGGAGAUGUUAUUAGUGACAUUGAGCCACUGGUAGUUCAAACUGCACCUUCUAAAAUGGUAUGGUGCAAGUCUAAUGUUCUGUUGCUCAUCUCUGAGCAUCAGCGUAGGGAGGAGGACUUUCGAAAACAAUCUGUGAAGAAAAAGAUGUUAUGGUUAAAGAUAGCUUCGGAGUUCAACAAGGCAUCCGAUGGACAUUUUUCUGGAGCUCAGUUUGAGCAAAAAUGGAAAAACAUAACUUAAGUGUUUAGAGACACUAUGGAUCAUAACUCAAAAUCGGGCAAUGAAAGAAAAGAGUGUCCUUUCUUUCAAGAGCUGCAAAAGACAUACGGAUAUAUUGGGAGCUCAGUGGCGUCAUUCAAGGAGUCAUCAGUAGAAACUGAAGAUGAUUCAAGCUCACAAACAGACGGUUUGCACACUCCAAAUUCGUCAUCAAAAAGGAUGAAGAAGAACCGCAAAGAUGCAGUUAUAGAGAUGCUUAAUGAAAUGCGUGAAGACAUGAAGGAGGAAAAUAAACAGUUAAUGGAAGUUUUGGCGAAACAACAUGAAGACCGUAUGGCAAAUGGAAAAAACAAACUUGAUCGUUUUGAAAAAUUUGUCAAUGCCUUUUCUAAAUCUAAUGAUGUGACAAAGUAAGAUUGUAAAAAACUACAUGUAGGUUGUUGUAUAUCUUAAAGCCCCAAACAUUGAAAUGAAAUACAUGUCAAUCAAUACAUGUAGAUGCAAUUUGAAAGUGUGCAAAAUUGUCAUUAAAUCUAUAGCCUAGUUAGCAAGUAAAUUAUUAAAAAAAUAAACCGAAAGUAAGAUUUCUAUACAUAUAUGCCCAUUUCGACAAACGCGAUUAUUUUUAAGUUUUAAAGUGCAAAAAAGACGGAUUUCUACCUUGAAACCAACAUAUAUAUUGUAAUUGGCAUAGAUAAAAUUGAAUAUAUAUCCUAGUUAGCAAGUAAUUUAUUAUUUUUCAAAUGGUACAGUUUUUAAAAACGAAAGAAGGAUUUCUAGACGUUUACGUCCAUUUCGAAAAACAUGAUUAUUUUUAAGUUGUAAAUAUGUGAACAGAUCUUAUUUGGGGAAGUGCAGUGAAGUAUUCUAGCUAGUGUCAGUUCUAGUCAGUUAUUAUUUAACAACAUUGCCAUCACAUUUUUUGGUUUGUUGUUUAUAUGUACGUCCAAAUAUAUCUUGUAAAGGCCAAUACUUAUAAAAGUUGGAUUGUAUGAUUUUAUAAUUACUUUGCACUAAUGUUGACACUCAUAAGACAGGAUUGUUGCUCACAAUAGAUGCAUCCAUACCUCAAAGGGUGUUGUAACACUUUACGUAAACUGAUAGAAUUCACAGUUUUAGAAGUUUAAUAUAGAAGUGCAUUUUUUGCGGAGGAUGAUUUGUAAAACAACAAAUUAGAAAAUUGCAAUACUACUUGAUUUUGAUAAGAAUAUAUUUUAUUAUUUUCAUUUGGAACUGUAUAUCAAUUGCAGACAGUAAACAUGAUAUUAUUGUUCUUGCUUUGUGGCACCAGUAUUGAAUGUUUCUGCUGGUUUUUCUUUUUGACAACAAUUAUUGAUUUUUUUAAGUUUCAUAUGUAAAUUAUAUUUCUUGGGAGGAGGAAUUGUACAAUCAAAAGAGUACAAAAGAUAUUUGUGAUAGAAUAUUAUUUUGAAAUUUAUAAUUUAAUACCUGUGUAAUUUUAUGUACCAUUUACUCAGUAUGUCCCUGUAUUACAGUCACUGCCUUUUCUAUGCAAGAACAAUCAAUACAACUAAUAAUUUUAACAAUUAAUGUAACUAAAGACUUUUUAGCUUUUGUCCGUCGUGCGUUGUCCGCUGUGCGUUGUCCAUUUUGCGGCGUCAACAUUUGCCUUGUUAACUAUCUAGAGGCCACAUUAAUUGUCCAAUCGUCAUGAAAUUUGGUUAGAAGAUUGGUCUUAAUGAUAUCUUGGAUGAGUUCAAAAAUGGUUACGUUUACUUGAAAAACAUGGCUGCAAAGGGGCGGGGCAUUUUUUCCUUAUAUGGCUUUAGUAAGACCUUGUUAACACUCUAGAGGCCACAUUUAUUGUCUGAUCUUAAUGAAACUUAAUCAGAAGUUUCAUCCCAAUAAUAUCUUGGACGAGUUUGAAAAUGAUGCCGGUUGGUAGAAAAACAUGGCCGCCAGGGGGCGGGGCAUUUUUCUGUAUAUGGCUAUAGUAAAACCUUGUUAACACUCUAGAGGCCACAUUUAUUUUCCGAUCUUCGUGAAACUUGCACAGAAGAUUUGUCCCAAUAAUAUCUUGUUAACUCAGGUGAGCGACUUUGGGCCUUUCAGGCCCUCUUGUUUCAUAAGUACAACCAUUAUACCCUUUGUUAAAUGAGGAAAUUGAUUAAAUGUCUUAAAGUGAAAAUUGAUUAACUUAUUUAAUUGAACAACCUUUGUGUGUUGGGCAUACCACUGAUAGCAACCGUAUGUUGACCAUUGUUACUGUUUAAAAGGUAACCACUGUUUUGUUUUAAGAAAUGUUGUACUUUUUGUUAAGGCAGACUAUUUGAAUAAUAGCGAGAAAUAUUCCGGUUAACCUGUCAUCCACAUGUGUGUUUUCAUUGACUUCAGCGUCUGAUCUUUAGUUAAGUUUUUGUAAAUAAGACAAAGAUACCGUAAACAAAUUUGGUACACCUGUUUGGCAUCAAUAUCUAAUUGCAUGUACAUUACAAUGUCAUAAACCACUAAUGCUAUUAUAUGGAAACUUCUUUAAAUUGUAAAGCAUCAAUAUCUCAGUAAACUUACUGGUAACUCUGAAUCGCAUUGUGACCGAAUAUCUUCUAUUUUUAUUAUUUUUAAUUAUAAGCUAUUGUCUUUGUUUUUCAUUUGUUUAGCACGUUUAUUAAGUCUUUGUUGUUUUUAUUAACAUGUUUGCUUUAGUACAGAUAGUACUCGACAAAGAAAGUAAAUGACAAAAAAGAUAUGAAGGAUGACCGUAUUUUGUUUGUCUGUUUUUCAUCUGAUUUCAACCUUGCAAUAACCUAAGAUUUUAUAGUGAUGUUAUGAACUAUUUUAUAUAUGUAAAUGCUCACCAAUUGGAGAUUAUGUAAAUAAGUGAUUGCCUGAUGUCCAUAGUCCAUCCUUUUUCAACAAACCAACAUUUUCCCAGCAAAAAUAAAAACAUAUUCUUUAUUUGAGUAUUUUCUAUUUGUUUAAAAAAACAACACAGAAUCAGUAUCUUGACUGUCUUUUCUUGGUAAAUUUGUGACCAUUAAUGCUUCUAAAGCAAGAGAG